AUUGAACGCUGGCGGCAGGCCUAACACAUGCAAGUCGAGCGGAUGACGGGAGCUUGCUCCUUGAUUCAGCGGCGGACGGGUGAGUAAUGCCUAGGAAUCUGCCUGGUAGCGGGGGACAACGUUUCGAAAGGAACGCUAAUACCGCAUACGUCCUACGGGAGAAAGCAGGGGACCUUCGGGCCUUGCGCUAUCAGAUGAGCCUAGGUCGGAUUAGCUAGUUGGUGGGGUAAUGGCUCACAAAGGCGACGAUCCGUAACUGGUCUGAGAGGAUGAUCAGUCAGACUGGAACAGAAACACUGUCCAGGCUCCUAGGGGAGGCGGAAUAGGGGAAUCUUUGAGAAUGGACGAAAGCUUUAUCCAGCCAUGCCGCGUGUGUGAAGAAGGUCUUCGGAUUGUAAAGCACUUUAAGUUGGGAGGAAGGGCAGUAAGUUAAUACCUUGCUGUUUUGACGUUACCGACAGAAUAAGCACCGGCCAACUCUGUGCCAGCCGCCGCCGUAACAC
rnacentral:rRNA from 1 species